GAUCGUCGUGAUCACAGUUACAUUGUAUCAAUAAGACACUACCGUGCUCCUGAGGUUAUUCUUGGACUUGGAUGGAGUUACCCUUGUGAUAUUUGGAGUAUUGGUUGUAUCUAAUUGAGCUAUGCUCGGGAGAGACAUUGUUUAAGACGCACGAUAACUUAGAGCACCUGGCCCUGAUGGAGAGGAUAUUGAGGUCAAUACCAAGUCACAUGUUGAAGAGAGUUGGGUUCAGGUUGGAAGAUCACCAAUUUAUAAAGUUGAUCGGCUACUUGUUUUAUGGGUUGUAAAUCAAAUGUGGAAUGGUUAACCUUGUUGAUUUGCUGGGUCCAGGACCUUCAUAAUGCUCAGUUGUUAUUGACGGCAGAAAUGAGUGAAAAACUCGAAAAGACUCGGGAAUAAACUCGAGAAUGUUGAACAUUCAAUUUUCGAUCUAGAACAGAGAUAUAGACAAGCAAAUGCGACCAUCAAAGAAAAAGAAUUUUUUAUCUCUAAUCUCCUUUGAGCAGGAAUUGGAUAAGGAACACACUAUGAAAGGUGUACAAGCAGCUGAAAGCUUUUUUUUUUCUUUUGAGUUUGUUGUUAAGUUCAUUAAUUAGGUAGUUUUGGUUCUAAAACAGGGGUAACUUGAUUUUGUUGGAUUAAUUUGAUUAUGAAUGA